rnacentral:rRNA from 1 species
GAUGAACGCUAGCGGCAGGCUUAAUACAUGCAAGGCGAAGGGGCAGCAAUGUCACUGUCGUACGGGUGCGUAACGCGUAUGCAACCUACCUAUCACUGGGGGAUAGCCCGGGGGAAAACCCGGAUUAAUACCGCAUAAUACAGGGGCACAGCAUUGUGCUAUUUGUUAAAGAUUUAUUGGUGAUAGAUGGGCAUGCGUUC